UUCGUCCAAUUGAAGCAGAGGACAGUGGCGGACGGGUGAGUAACGCGUGAGGAACCUGCCCUGUACAGGGGGAUAACAGCUGGAAACGGCUGCUAAUACCGCAUAAGCGCACGGUGCUGCAUGGCACAGUGUGAAAAACUCCGGUGGUAUGAGAUGGACCCGCGUCUGAUUAGCUAGUUGGUGGGGGAACGGCCUACCAAGGCGACGAUCAGUAGCCGGCCUGAGAGGGUGAACGGCCACAUUGGGACUGAGACACGGCCCAGACUCC
rnacentral:rRNA from 1 species